rnacentral:rRNA from 1 species
UACGAAGGCCCCGAGCGUUAUCCGGAUUUAUUGGGCGUAAAGCGUUCAACGGUGGCUCCGCACGUCUCCGGUUAAAUCUCAUGGCUCAACCAUGAAACUGCCGGUGAUACGACGGAGCUCGAGGACGGGAGAGGUACAUGGAAUUACCGGUGUAGCGGUAAAAUGCGUUAAUAUCGGUAAGAACACCAAUAGCGAAGGCAAUGUACUGGAACGAUCCUGACACUAAACGAACGAAAGCGUGGGGAGCGAAUGGG